rnacentral:rRNA from 1 species
CAGGACGAACGCUGGCGGCGUGCCUAACACAUGCAAGUCGAGCGAGGAGAUCCUCGGGAUGAUCCUAGCGGCGGACGGGUGAGUAACACGUGGGCAACCUGCCUCAUAGAGAGGAAUAGCCUUCCGAAAGGGAGAUUAAUACCUCAUAACAUUGCAGUUUCGCAUGGAACAGCAAUUAAAGGAGUAAUCCGCUAUGAGAUGGGCCCGCGGCGCAUUAGCUAGUUGGUGAGGUAACGGCUCACCAAGGCGACGAUGCGUAGCCGACCUGAGAGGGUGAUCGGCCACAUUGGGACUGAGACACGGCCCAGACUCCUACGGGAGGCAGCAGUGGGGAAUAUUGCACAAUGGGGGAAACCCUGAUGCAGCCAACGCCGCGUGAGUGAUGACGGCCUUCGGGUUGUAAAGCUCUGUCUUCAGGGACGAUAAUGACGGUACCUGAGGAGGAAGCCACGGCUAACUACGUGCCAGCAGCUGC